rnacentral:rRNA from 1 species
AUGGCGAACUUACACCGUAAGACCAUCACCUCCGACUCGGUCUGCCCACGGUGCGAAAUCACCCAUGAGAACGCAACGCACGUUGCCUUCCUUUGCCCAUGUGAAACACAUGUGUGGUCCCUCCUUGGGUUGCAGCAACCUCACUCCAUCGACCUUCUAUGGGAUACUACGACUCCGGUCGGCCUCGACAUCAACAUUUGGCCUACCGUCGCCCUCGCCAUUCUCUGGAAACUUUGGGACUCCCGGAACGCCCGAGUUUUUCGCAAUGAACGUCACACACCCCUAGAUACUCUUCGGAACAUCAUCUCAGAUUUCACGCUUUGGGCCUUUAGGUUUAAGGACCCCGUCAGUAGGGAGGCGGCCGUGUCUUGGCGCCUUUUCCUUUCCUCUCGAUGUAACCCGUGA